rnacentral:rRNA from 1 species
CGUCAGCUCGUGUCGUGAGAUGUUGGGUUAAGUCCCGCAACGAGCGCAACCCCUAUUGUUAGUUGCCAUCAUUCAGUUGGGCACUCCAGCGAGACUGCCGGUAAUAAACCGGAGGAAGGUGGGGAUGACGUCAAAUCAUCAUGCCCCUUAUGACCUGGGCUACACACGUGCUACAAUGGUUGGUACAACGAGUUGCGAGUCGGUGACGGCGAGCUAAUCUCUUAAAGCCAAUCUCAGUUCGGAUUGUAGGCUGCAACUCGCCUACAUGAAGUCGGAAUCGCUAGUAAUCGCGGAUCAGCACGCCGCGGUGAAUACGUUCCCGGGCCUU